GCUGGGUAUGGUGGUGUGCACCUGUAGUCCCAGCUACUUGGGAGGCUGAGGUAGGAGGUUCGCUCGAGUCCAGGAGGUUGAGGCUGCAGUGAGCCAUGAGUAUGUCACUGCACUCCAGCCUGGGCCACAGAGGGAGACCCUGUCUCAA
rnacentral:SRP_RNA from 1 species